rnacentral:rRNA from 1 species
CUACGGGCGGCAGCAGGCGCGAGACCUCCGCAAUGCGCGCAAGCGUGACGGGGGGAUUCUGAGUGCUCAAGGUUUCCUUGGGCUUUUUGCAAGAGUAAAAAUCUUGUAGAAUAAGUGGUGGGCAAGACUGGUGCCAGCCGCCGCGGUAACCCCAGCGCCACAAGUGGGAACCAUAUUUAUUGGGUCUAAAGCAUCCGUAGCCGGUUCAGCAAAUUUCCUGUGAAAUCGUCUCGCUUAACGGGAUGGCGAGCAGGAAAGACUACUGGACUUGGGACCAGGAGAGGUCAACAGUAUUCCUAGGGGAGCGGUAAAAUGCUAUAAUCCUGGGAGGACUACCUAUGGCGAAGGCAGUUGACCAGAAUGGAUCUGACGGUGAGGGAUGAAAGCUAGGGGAGCAAAACGGAUUAGAUACCCUCGUAGUC